UACGUAGGGUGCAAGCGUUGUCCGGAUUUAUUGGGCGUAAAGAGCUCGUAGGCGGUCUGUCGCGUCGGAUGUGAAACCCAGGGCUCAACCCUGGGCCUGCAUUCGAUACGGGCAGACUAGAGUCCGGUAGGGAGCAUGGAAUUCCUGGUGUAGCGGUGAAAUGCGCAGAUAUCAGGAGGAACACCAGUGGCGAAGGCGGUGCUCUGGGCCGGUACUGACGCUGAGGAGCGAAAGCGUGGGAGCAAACAGG
rnacentral:rRNA from 1 species